CAUUUCCUUAGUAACGUAGCUAACGCGUGAAGUUGUCCGCCUGGGGAGUACGGUCGCAAGAUUAAAACUCUAAGGAAUUGACGGGGACCCGCACAAGCGGUGGAUGAUGUGGAUUAAUUCGAUGCAACGCGAAAAACCUUACCUACCCUUGACAUGGUCGGAACCCUGCUGAAAGGUGGGGGUGCUCGAAAGAGAACCGGCGCACAGGUGCUGCAUGGCUGUCGUCAGCUCGUGUCGUGAGAUGUUGGGUUAAGUCCCGCAACGAGCGCAACCCUUGUCCUUAGUUGCUACGCAAGAGCACUCUAAGGAGACUGCCGGUGACAAACCGGAGGAAGGUGGGGAUGACGUCAAGUCCUCAUGGCCCUUAUGGGUAGGGCUUCACACGUCAUACAAUGGUCGGAACAGAGGGUUGCCAAGCCGCGAGGUGGAGCCAAUCCCAGAAAACCGAUCGUAGUCCGGAUCGCAGUCUGCAACUCGACUGCGUGAAGCUGGAAUCGCUAGUAAUCGCGGAUCAGCAUGCCGCAGUGAAUACGUUCCCGGGUCUUGUACACACCGCCCGUUACACCAUGGGAGUGGGUUUCACCAGAAGUAGGUAGCCUAACCGCAAGGAGGGCGCUUACCACGGUGGGAUUCAUGACUGGGGUGAAGUCGUAACAAGGUAACCAAUCG
rnacentral:rRNA from 1 species